AUUGAACGCUGGCGGCAUGCCUUACAUAUGCAAGUCGAACGGCAGCACGGGAGCAAUCCUGGUGGCGAGUGGCGAACGGGUGAGUAAAGUAUCGGAACGUGCCCAGUCGUGGGGGAUAACGUAGCGAAGGUUACGCUAAUACCGCAUACGAUCUAUGGAUGAAAGCGGGGGAUCGCAAGACCUCGCGCGAUUGGAGCGGCCGAUAUCAGAUUAGGUAGUUGGUGGGGUAAAGGCUCACCAAGCCGACGAUCUGUAGCUGGUCUGAGAGGACGACCAGCCACACUGGGACUGAGACACGGCCCAGACUCCUACGGGAGGCAGCAGUGGGGAAUUUUGGACAAUGGGCGAAAGCCUGAUCCAGCCAUGCCGCGUGCAGGAUGAAGGCCUUCGGGUUGUAAACUGCUUUUGUACGGAACGAAAAGGUUUGGGCUAAUAAGCUGAGCUCAUGACGGUACCGUAAGAAUAAGCACCGGCUAACUACGUGCCAGCCGCCGCCGUAA
rnacentral:rRNA from 1 species